rnacentral:rRNA from 1 species
GGUUAAGUUACUAAGAGCGUGCGGUGGAUGCCUUGGCACGAGAAGGCGAUGAAGGACGCGGUUACCUGCGAUAAGCGUCGGUGAGGCGGAAGCAGCCUUUGACCCGACGAUUUCCGAAUGGGGCAACCCAUCUAGCGUUAUGGCUAGAUACUAAGCGCUGAAUACAUAGGCGCAUUAGAGCAAACCGGGAGAAGUGAAACAUCUCAGUAACCCGAGGAAGAGAAAGAAAAUCGAUUUCCUGAGUAGCGGCGAGCGAAACGGAAUCAGCCUAAACUGAUGUGCACGUAAGGAUGCGACCGUUGUGCACACGGUGUUGUGGGACUUUCAGAUUGUAUCGCUUAUCAAUCAUAGAGUUAAAAAUCAACAUAAUAGUCGAAUGUUCUGGAAAGUUCAGCCAUAGAGGGUGAUAGUCCCUUAGACGAAAUUAUGUUGACUCUAGAAAGUAUCCCGAGUAGCACGGAGUAAGUGGAAUUCUGUGUGAAUCUGCCAGAACCAUCUGGUAAGGCUAAAUACUCUCUCGUGACCGAUAGUGAACCAGUACCGUGAGGGAAAGGUGAAAAGAACCCUUAAGAAGGGAGUGAAAUAGUACCUGAAACCGCAUGCUUACAAACGGUAGUAGGAAAUCUUAUAUCUUCGGAUAUAAGAGGACUGACUGCGUGCCUUUUGCUUAAUGAGCCUACGAGUUGCUCGUACGAUGCAAGGAUAAAUUUCUAAGAAAUGAAUCCGUAGCGAAAGCAAGUCCUAAUCGGGCGAACAUAGUAUCGUGCGGCAGACGCGAACCCGUGUGAUCUACCCUUGGUCAGGAUGAAGUGACGGUAAAACGUCAUGGAGGUCCGAACUGAUGUGGGUUGAAAACCGCUCGGAUGAACUGAGGGUAGGAGCGAAAGACCAAUCAAACUCGGAGAUAGCUCGUACUCCCCGAAAUAGCUCUAGGGCUAGCCUCAAGUUAUAGUAUUGCGCAGGUAGAGCACUGAUUGGGCUAGGGCCGUCACAACGGUACCAAACCCAGACAAACUCCGAAUUGCGCUAAUAUGUUUCUUGGGAGUCAGGCGGCGAGGGAUAAGCUUCGUCGCCAAAAGGGAAACAACCCAGACCACCAGCUAAGGUCCCAAAAUCGACGUUAACAGAGAAAGGAUGUUGAGUUGCUUAGACAACUAGGAUGUUUGCUUAGAAGCAGCAAUCAUUUAAAGAGUGCGUAAUAGCUCACUAGUCAAGCGACUUAGCGCCGACAAUUAUCGGGACUUAAACGUCGUACCGAAGCUGUGGACUUCGCUUUAUUGCGAAUGUGGUAGGGGAGCAUUCCAUGCUGCAUCGAAGGUGACAGGUGACUGUUGCUGGAGCGCAUGGAAACGCAGAUGUAGGCAUAAGUAACGAUAAGAAAUACGAAAAAUAUUUCCACCGAAAAUCUAAGGUUUCCUGAGCAACGUUAAUCGUCUCAGGGUUAGCCGGAUCCUAAGAUGAGGCCGAGAGGCGUAGUCGAUGGUAAACAGGUAAAUAUUCCUGUGCUUGUUUGUAAUCGUUUGAUCAUAAGGAGUGACACAGAAGUGAACUUCAGCCACCUAAUGGAUGGUGGUUUAACCGCGUAGGGUGGACGUGUUGGUAAAUCCGCAUGUCCGUUAAACCGAGACGGGAAUAGGGUGCCCGCAAGGGCCACAACUGAAGCUAAUCAGGCUGUCGAGAAAAACUUCGUAUGAGAGAAUGCAAACAAACCGUACCGCAAACCGACACAGGUAGAUGAGUUGAAUAUACUAAGGUGCUCGAGUGAGCCGUGGUUAAGGAACUCGGCAAACUGACUGCGUAACUUCGGGAUAAGCAGUGCCCAUUGUACGUUGCUGUGUACAACAGCUGCGGAAAUGGGUCGCAGUGAAACGGGCCAAGCGACUGUUUAACAAAAACACAUGUCUCUGCUAAGACUUUAUGUCGACGUAUAGGGACUGACACCUGCCCGGUGCUGGAAGGUUAAGGAAGGGAGUUAGGCGCAAGCCAAAGCCCUCGACCGAAGCCCCAGUAAACGGCGGCCGUAACUAUAACGGUCCUAAGGUAGCGAAAUUCCUUGUCGGGUAAGUUCCGACCUGCACGAAUGGUGUAACGACUUGGUCACUGUCUCAACCACGGGCUCGGUGAACUUGUGGUACCGGUGAAGACGCCGGUUACCCGCAUAUGGACGGAAAGACCCUAUGCACCUUUACUGCACCCUAUUAUUGGGUUCGGACAAAGCAUGUGUAGCAUAGGUGGGAGACUGUGAAGCCGGGGCGCUAGCCUCGGUGGAGUCAACAGUGAAAUACCACCCUUGCUUUGUUGGAAUUCUAACCUAGUACCGUAAGCCGGUACAGGAACAGUGAUAGGCGGGUAGUUUGACUGGGGCGGUCGCCUCCUAAAUUGUAACGGAGGCUCUCAAUGGUUCCCUCAGCACGGUUGGUAAUCGUGCGGCGAGUGUAAAAGCACAAGGGAGCUUGACUGCGAGACGGACAAGUCGAGCAGGUACGAAAGUAGGAUUUAGUGAUCCGUUGGUUCCAAGUGGAAGGGCCAACGCUCAAAGGAUAAAAGGUACGCUAGGGAUAACAGGCUGAUCUUGCCCAAGAGUUCAUAUCGACGGCAAGGUUUGGCACCUCGAUGUCGGUUCAUCGCAUCCUGGGGCUGGAGAAGGUCCCAAGGGUUUGGCUGUUCGCCAAUUAAAGCGGUACGUGAACUGGGUUCAGAACGUCGUGAGACAGUUCGGUCCCUAUCCUAUGCGGGCGCAGGAAAUUUGAGGAGUCUCGUUCUUAGUACGAGAGGACCGGAAUGAACGGACCGACGGUGAAUCUGUUGUCACGCCAGUGGCAUUGCAGAGUAGCCACGUCCGGAUGGGAUAAGCACUGAAAGCAUCUAAGUGCGAAACCCGCUCCAAGAUAAGAUUUCCCUGGGGCUUGCCCCCUAAAGAAUCCAAGGAGAUGACUUGGUUGAUAGGCUACAGAUGUAAACGCAGUAAUGCGUGAGUCGAGUAGUACUAAUAAUUCGUGAGACUUGCCAAU